ACAUAAGUCGUGGUAGGGUGGCUUAUUUAUACGCUAUCACGAGGAUGACUGUGGCCUCAGCUUGGGUGAGGUAAGCUCACAGGCUAUGGGGUAGCUUCUGAGAGCGACCAGCCACUGGGAGAGACACGCCAGACUCACGGGAGGGCAGUGGGAUAUUGGGAUGGGCGCGCCUGACCGCGACGCCGUGGGUGAAAGGCCUUGGUUGUAACCCUGUCAUGGGAAGAUGUCUCGUCUAAUAUCCGGGAAUUCGGUACCAGGAGGAAGCCGGCUWAYCGUGCCAAAGCCGCGAAUACGGAGUGCUAGCUUGUUCGGUUAUUGGGUWAAGGGCCGUA
rnacentral:rRNA from 1 species